rnacentral:tRNA from 3 species
GAGAAAGACAUAGAGGCUAUGGGAUUGGCUUGAAACCAGUCUAAGGGGGUUCGAGUCCUUCCUUUCUUA